rnacentral:rRNA from 1 species
GGAAACGAUAGCUAAUACCGCAUAAUAGUAGAUGUUGCAUGACAUUUGCUUAAAAGGUGCAAUUGCAUCACUACCAGAUGGACCUGCGUUGUAUUAGCUAGUUGGUGAGGUAACGGCUCACCAAGGCGACGAUACAUAGCCGACCUGAGAGGGUGAUCGGCCACACUGGGACUGAGACACGGCCCAG